GACGAACGCUGGCGGUGUGCUUAACACAUGCAAGUGGUGCGACGAACCAGAGCUUGCUCUGGGGCCACGCCGCGAACGGGUGAGUAACACGUGUGUAAUCUACCCCGAUGACUGGGACAACCCUAGGAAACUCUGGCUAAUAUCGGGUGUGGUACCGCGACAUAAGUGUCUUCACUAAAGGUAGCUUCGCCUUCCGCGUUGGGAGGGCGCCGCGGCGCAUUAGAUUGUUGGUAGGGUCAAGCCCUAGCAUGGCCAGGAUGGGUAGCUGGACUGAGAGGAGGAUAGGCGGCACUAGAGCUGGAACACGGACAAGAGGCCUAAGGGAGGCAGCAGAGGGGAACCUUGGGCAAUAGGCGAAAGCGUGACGCAGCAACACCGAGUGAGAGAAAAAGGCCUUGGGGUUGUAAACAUCGUUCAGGGGGGACGAAGGGCCUCCGGUGGAGAGCAGGGAGGAGUGACGGUACCGGCAGAAGAAGCACCGGCUAACUACGUG
rnacentral:rRNA from 1 species